rnacentral:rRNA from 1 species
UACGAAGGGUGCAAACGUUGCUCGGAAUCAUUGGGCGUAAAGCGCACGUAGGCGGCCUCAUAAGUCGGAUGUGAAAUCCCUCGGCUCAACCGAGGAAGUGCAUUCGAAACUGCGAGGCUCGAGUAUGGAAGAGGGUCGCAGAAUUCCCGGUGUAGAGGUGAAAUUCGUAGAUAUCGGGAGGAAUACCAGUGGCGAAGGCGCUGGGCUGGACGGAUACUGACGCUGAGGUGCGAAAGCGUGGGGAGCAAACAGG